rnacentral:rRNA from 1 species
AACGCUAGCUACAGGCUUAACACAUGCAAGUCGAGGGGCAUCAGGGUAGCAAUACCGCUGGCGACCGGCGCACGGGUGAGUAACACGUAUCCAACCUACCGUUAACUCGGGGAUAGCCUUUCGAAAGAAAGAUUAAUACCCGAUAGUAUAUUUUCUUCGCAUGUUGAAAAUAUUAAAGAAAUUCGCUGAUAGAUGGGCAUGCGUCCCAUUAGGUAGUUGGUGAGGUAACGGCUCACCAAGCCGACGAUGGAUAGGGGAACUGAGAGGUUGGUCCCCCACACUGGUACUGAGACACGGACCAGACUCCUACGGGAGGCAGCAGUGAGGAAUAUUGGUCAAUGGACGAGAGUCUGAACCAGCCAAGUAGCGUGCAGGAUGACGGCCCUAUGGGUUGUAAACUGCUUUUAUAAGGGAAUAAAGUGAGUCUCGUGAGACUUUUUGCAUGUACCUUAUGAAUAAGGACCGGCUAAUUCCGUGCCAGCAGCCGCGGUAAUACGGAAGGUCCGGGCGUUAUCCGGAUUUAUUGGGUUUAAAGGGAGCGUAGGCCGGAGAUUAAGCGUGUUGUGAAAUGUAGACGCUCAACGUCUGCACUGCAGCGCGAACUGGUUUCCUUGAGUACGCACAAAGUGGGCGGAAUUCGUGGUGUAGCGGUGAAAUGCUUAGAUAUCACGAAGAACUCCGAUUG